rnacentral:rRNA from 1 species
AUUGAACGCUGGCGGCAGGCCUAACACAUGCAAGUCGGGCGAGUGGCGGACGGGUGAGUAAUGUAUGGGGAUCUGCCUGAUGGAGGGGGAUAACUACUGGAAACGGUAGCUAAUACCGCAUACCCUCAACUGAACCCAUAUGGGAUUAGCUAGUAGGUGGGGUAACGGCUCACCUAGGCGACGAUCCCUAGCUGGUCUGAGAGGAUGAUCAGCCACAUUGGGACGUAGACAGGGCCAAGACUCCUCCGGGAGGCAGCAGUGGGGAAUAUUGCACAAUGGGCGCAAGCCGGAUGCAGCCAUGCCGCGUGUAUGAAGAAGGCCUUCGGGUUGUAAAGUACUUUCAGUCGGGAGGCGUUACCGACAGAAGAAGCACCGGCUAACUCCGUGCCAGCAGCCGCGGUAAUAC